AUAUAGUGUUAGGUUGUUUCUCUUUUGUGACAUUAGGAGCAAUUAAUAAUCAUUGUCUAGUUGCGUUAUUUUAUUAGAGUUCAACAAGAUGGUGAUAUUUUAAUUCAAUCAUCACUUUUCUUUUAAUUAACUGGACUAUUUUUAUAAAGACAAUCUCCCCAAAGUAUUAAUUUACUCUAGGUAUAACUCGCAAAAGAAAGGCAGUUAAAUACUUAUUUUUCCUUUAUUAAUCAGUUAGCAGAAGAGAGAAUUGGCUCUAAACCAUCUUCCAAAUGUGAUAAACAGCUAUUUUCACCUAAAUAUCAUUAGAAACUCACAGACUUUAGCAUACCUGAUAUAUUUGAAUUUAUUGCAGUUUUUAUUAAAUUGAUGCUAAAUUUGGCAGUGGACCAUCAUUUGUUUCCUUUUACAAAAUCCCAGUAGUCUCUGAUAGUUUCUUUGCUUUCUGGUAAAGCAAGAUUUUCUAGACAUUUGUGUGCAUUUCCUGUCUGAGACCUCGACCAGUUCUUUUCCUGAAAAUCUCUGAUUUCUUGUAUAAUGCAAAAUGAUUAUAAAAGACCAUGGUCUGAAUACUAGUACAAUUUUUAAGCGUAGACCAUUUACUGUGAACAUACUGGCAAACAUGAAUAUUUCUGUUUCUUCUUCUACUGCUAGAAUAUACUUCUCUGUGUGCUUUACUAUUGACUUGGGAUUCAACGGAUGGAGUAAAAGGGGUUUUACUGAAGAUGACACUUGUCACUUUCAAGAGAGAGCACUUAAGAACGAGUGUAGAAUUUUCCUUGGGCUAUUCCAGUGCAAGGAAUAGAAACUGUUCAAAAUCAUAACAGAACGAUGAAUCUGUCAUCAGCUUGAGUGAUUACAGAGCUCACAGCCACUCCCAUUGAUCCACAUUCAUCAUACUGCACACAUGAGAGUUAACCCUUUGUCUUUGAAGCCUCUGAAAAAUUUGUAUAAUAUACUACCAAAAUAUAAUUCUGACUGGUGUAACAUUUUGUUUUUACACAAAAAUGAAUGCUAUUUCAACUUUCUGCCUUACCUUCAAUCCACAGUCUAAAACUGGUGAAUACAGCUAAACUUCUAUACCUCACUAAAGGCAGUUCAUUCUCUUUUAGAACUUUCAGGUUAUUUAUACUUCUUCUGACAUAUGGUUUUUUAAAUUGUAAUAUAAUGACUCUAAGUGCUGAUCACCUUGUAAACAUACCUCUGGAUUGUUUUCAGUAAGUCCUGAUUUGAAUCGCUUUGUCCUGGUG
rnacentral:lncRNA from 1 species